rnacentral:rRNA from 1 species
UUGGCUGGAUGGUGAGGUAACGGCUCACCAUGGCUACGAUAGGUAGGGGGCCUGAGAGGGUGGUCGCCCACGCUGGUACUGAGCACACGGACCAGACUACUACGGGAGGCAGCAGUGAGGAAUAUUGGUCAAUGGGCGCAAGCCUGAACCAGCCAUGCCGCGUGCAGGAAGAAUGCCCUAUGGGUUGUAAACUGCUUUUAUUUGGGAAUAAACCUCUUUACGUGUAGAGAGCUGAAGGUACCAAAUGAAUAAGCACCGGCUAACUCCGUGCCAGCAGCCGCGGUAAUACGGAGGGUGCAAGCGUUAUCCGGAAUCAUUGGGUUUAAAGGGUCCGCACGCGGAUUUAUAACUCAGUGGUGAAAUCCUAUCGCUUAACGAUAUAACUGCCAUUGAUACUGUAAGUCUUGAAUUCGGUCGGACUGGGCGGAAUGUGUAGUGUAACGGUGAAAUGCAUAGAUAUUACACAGAACACCUAUAGCCAAGGCAGCUCACUA